rnacentral:rRNA from 1 species
UACAGAGGGUGCAAGCGUUGUUCGGAAUUAUUGGGCGUAAAGGGUGCGUAGGCGGUGCGGUAAGUCUGUAGUGAAAUCUCUGGGCUCAACUCAGAGUCUGCUAUAGAAACUGCCGUGCUCGAGUAUGGGAGAGGUGAGUGGAAUUCCCGGUGUAGCGGUGAAAUGCGUAGAUAUCGCUUGGAACGCCAACGGUGAAAACAGCUCGCUGGGGGUGUGCUGACGCUGAGACACGAAAGCCAGGGGAGCGAACGGG